rnacentral:rRNA from 1 species
AUGAGAAAAUCCAGCGCCGCCGCCGUCGCCAGGAAGCUCGCCUCCGACCUCGUAGGGAAGAAGAUACUGGGACUAUUUCUAAAUAGAAUAGCACCUGAACUUGCUUUGCUUGUACUAUUUGUCAAACAGCAAGAAAACAGGGGAUCAACAGCAUUUAAGGUGCCAGGUUUGAGAGGUGCAACAGUGAAAAUUGAACACGACAAAGCAUUUAAGGUGCCAGGUUUGAGAGGUGCAAUAGUGUCACCUCAGAAGAAUGUGGGCCUUGACGUCCAGGAUGGUGCAGUACAUGAAGCGCUCUAG